rnacentral:lncRNA from 1 species
AUGCAUCCAAGGAGCCUCUCUCUAGCCUGUCUGCAUGGCCGAUGGCUCUCUCUGCAUCCCUCCUUCUACCUCCCUGGCUGUGGCUGGCUGGCUAGCUGGCUGCACUCAGAGCUAGUGUCAGAGAGGAGGGGGGGGGGCGGCCCCAGCCACCAGUCUCCAUCCCUCCCUCCCUCCCUCCUCCCGGAGUGUCCUAAAGGAAAGGUAAUGAUGAUAUGUCUCUGCCUCUCAGUCUUUAUCCCCUAUCGAUCUCUACCCCACCACCCAUCCCUGCAGAGUGUAACCCAACCCUCCACCUCUCUUCUCUGCCUGCUUCUCCCGGGAUAUACUUCACUUAGCACACAGCCUCACAGAGAGGAAAAGAGAGAUGGAGAGAGACAGAGAAAGGGGAGUGGGAGAGAGACAGAGAGAGAGGGAGAGAGAGAGAGAGAGAGAGGGAGAGAGAGAGAGAGAGAGAGAGAGAGAGAGGGAGAGAGAGAGAGAGAGAGGGAGAGAGACAGAGAGAGAGAGAGGGAGAGAGACAGAGAGAGGGAGAGAGAGACAGGGGAGUGGGAGAGAGACAGAGAGAGAGACAGGGGAGUGGGAGAGAGACAGAGAGAGAGGGAGAGAGAGAAAGGGGAGUGGGAGAGAGACAGAGCAAGGGGAGUGGGAGAGAGACAGAGAGAGAGGGAGAGAGAGAGAGAAAGGGGAGUGGGAGAGAGACAGAGCAAGGGGAGUGGGAGAGAGAGACAGAGCAAGGGGAGUGGGAGAGAGACCGAGAGAGAGGGAGAGAGAGGGAGAGGAAAAGAGAGACGGAGAGAGAAAGGGGAGUGGGAGAGAGACAGAGAGAGAGGGAGCGAGAGGGAGAGGAAAAGAGAGACAGAGAGAGACAGAGAAAGGGGAGUGGGAGAGAGACAGAGAGAGAGGGAGAGAGAGAAAGGGGUGGAAGAGAGAGAGAGACAUGGGAGAGGGAGAGAGAAAGGGGAGUGGAAGAGAAAGAGAGAAAGGGGAGUGGAAGAGAGAGAAAGAGAGGGAGAGAGAAGGGGAGUGGGAGAGAGAGAGGAGAGUGGAAGAGAGACAGAGCGAGAGAGAGAGAGAGAGAGAGAGAGAGAGAGAGAGAGAGAGAGAGAGAGAGAGAGAGAGAAAGAGGAGAGCGAGAGAGAGAGGAGAGAGAGAAAGAGGAGUGGAAGACAGAGAGAGAGAGAGAAAGAGGAGAGCGAGAGAGAGAGGAGAGAGAGAAAGAGGAGUGGAAGACAGAGAGAGAGAGAGAAAGAGGAGUGGAAGACAGAGAGAGAGAGAGAGGAGUCCCAUGUCCACUACCACUAUUACUGUUGA